rfam:Lachnospiraceae bacterium 3_1_57FAA_CT1 genomic scaffold acsNT-supercont1.1, whole genome shotgun sequence.
AAGAAGAAUCCGGGAGAGACAAGACCAUCUGCGCCGAAGGGGCAUAAACUCUCAGGCAAAAGGACCGGAUUUGGACG